AGAAAACAAAUACUCUCUUUUUAUUCCACCCCCUCAAUGUGUAGAAAGCAAGCCUAUUUAUAAGCAAAAUACAAGAGUAAUUGAACCCUAAUAAAACUCUUUAAAAUUAUCUAAGAAAAUAAAUAAAUAAUAACCUAACCAAUAAAAUUACUUAAAACUCAUAAGUGAUGUGUCCCAACCAAUGAGAAUUAAGUAAAUAAUAAUAAUAAGAUACAUAAAAGAUUAAUCCACCAAUUUAUGGGCUUUCACUAUUCCAAGAUUGGUCCAGUGAAUUGCAUUCCCGUAUUUGUCAACGUCACGAACAUGAUGAAUUAAAUUUGUAGCAACAAAGUCUUGGACAAAAGCAUUCAUCUUUAAUUUUAAUUGUCAUGCCUUGCUUCGAGUGAUUGGACCACUAGGAAAAACAACCCCUUGAGUGUCACCUCCUUGGCUCGUAUCACCUAGUGACACUAGAAGUCCAAAAUCGACUAGAUACCAAAGAAUUAUGUUGCACGGAGGAAGUAAACCUACUAACACAAGAAAUAAUAAAGUAUUAGAAUGCGUAAAUGAACAAUAAAAAGCAAAAACAAAUGAAAGCAUAAUGUUAAGAGUUAAUGAAAAUCGUUGAAACUCGAAAACUCGAAAAUUGUGGAGCAACUUGAUAAACUUUGUUUGAGGUGUUCCAAAUUUCAAAAAAUCACAAAAUUUAAAAUAGAGUCUCCUCAAAUAAUGUAAAUCUGAUCUGGAAAGUUUCAAGAUGAAAUUUAGCCCACAUAAUAUUUUUUAAUUUCUUCUUUCUUUUUACUUUUUUUAUUUUUUUUGUGGGAAAUAUUUUUUAUAUUUCAAAAUAGUGUCAAGAAUUAGUAUGUAAAUUUUUAGGUCGUUCGGAAAAAAAGUUUACCCAUUGAAUUUUUUUUUCAAAUAACGUUUUGGUAAAAAAUUUGUUUUGAGGCUAUUUUGAUGUAAAUAAAUUUAUAAAGACACAAAUAACACCUAAAAUGCUCAAAAAAUAGAUGCCAACUAUCGGGAUACGCAUGGAAUAGGAUCAUAAGUUUGUCCAAGUCGCGAAUUUGAUUUAGGGUUUUAGACAAAUGAAAGGAAACUUGAAGUUCGAGUUUGACUCAACCUGAGCAAUCCAAGUUAGAAUUGAAAGGAAAACAACAAAAAUCAAGUAAUAAUAAAACAAGGAGAUAGAAUUAAGAAUUAAGGCUACUAAUUAAGUGAAUGCAAACAAUUAAAACAUAUUUGAAGAACAUAGACUAAAAACUGAAUGAAAUCACAAGAAUAAUUAAAGAGAAGGUUCGGUCAGCCAAGAACAAUGAAAACCCAGGUGUUUGGAGUCAUUUAGGUCGUUCUUGAUGAAAAAGAAGCUGUCGAACAAGGAUCUAAACAAAAAAAAACAUAUUAGAAAUUGAAAGAAAACAAAUGAAAGAAGAAAUCCAGCAUCAAAGAAAGGUAAGGCGACCAAUAGGAGUCCAAGAAUGAGUAGAACAAGGUUUCUUGGAAGAUAAGAACUCGUUCUUGAACUUUAAAGAUGUCUCCAAAAAUAUCUGAAGCAAAAUAAUAGAACAAUUUAGUAGAAUGAAAAUUUAAGCCAAAAGCAAAUUGUUUUGUAACAAAAGAAUUCAAACAACAAGAAAAGCAAAGAACUCCUAUUUUUGGGAUGUUUCUUAAUGAGAGAAGAUAGGAGGACGCCUCUCUUGAUUGAAACAAGACCUGGAAUUAAGUAAAUUCAAAGAUUAGAUUCAAAAUAACAAGAACAUAACAUAAAAAGAAAGAAAAGAGAUGGAAAAGAUAAAAGUAACGUGUAGAAGUCCUAAGAAUCCUUGGAAACAAGAUGAAUCCACAACCCCUUUCAAACCACUCUAAUUUCCCUUCCAAGAAAAACUCAUUAGCAAGAGUAGGCUUGAAGAUAAUUCCCACGAUCUAAAAAGAUUGUUAAAACUCUUUUAAAAGAAAACUCAAGAGAAUGUUUUUAAAAUAAAAAACUCAAAAAAUUUUAUUAAUUCAAAAGCAAAAUAAUCAAU
rnacentral:lncRNA from 1 species